AGGCCUGAAGUUUGACUGAUUAUAAAGUGGGAGUGUGUAUUAGGGUACUUAUGGCCUGAAGUUUCACUGAUAUACAGUUGGAGUGUGUAUUAGGGUACUUAUGGCCUGACGUUUGACUGAUUUUAAAGUGGGAGUGUGUAUUAGGGUACUUAUGGCCUGAAGUUUCACUGAUAUACAGUGGGAGUGUGUAUUAGGGUACUUAUGGCCUGAAGUUUCACUGAUAUACAGUGGGAGUGUGUAUUAGGGUACUUAUGGCCUGAAGUUUCACUGAUAUACAGUGGGAGUGUGUAUUAGGGUACUUAUGGCCUGAAGUUUCACUGAUAUACAGUGGGAGUGUGUAUUAGGGUACUUAUGGCCUGAAGUUUCACUGAUAUACAGUGGGAGUGUGUAUUAGGGUACUUACGGC